AUUGAACGCUGGCGGCAGGCCUAACACAUGCAAGUCGAACGGUAACAGGAAACAGCUUGCUGUUUCGCUGACGAGUGGCGGACGGGUGAGUAAUGUCUGGGAAACUGCCUGAUGGAGGGGGAUAACUACUGGAAACGGUAGCUAAUACCGCAUAACGUCGCAAGACCAAAGAGGGGGACCUUCGGGCCUCUUGCCAUCGGAUGUGCCCAGAUGGGAUUAGCUAGUAGGUGGGGUAACGGCUCACCUAGGCGACGAUCCCUAGCUGGUCUGGGAGGAUGACCAGCCACACUGGAACUGAGACACGGUCCAGACUCCUACGGGAGGCAGCAGUGGGGAAUAUUGCACAAUGGGCGCAAGCCUGAUGCAGCCAUGCCGCGUGUAUGAAGAAGGCCUUCGGGUUGUAAAGUACUUUCAGCGGGGAGGAAGGGAGUAAAGUUAAUACCUCGACUCAUUGACGUUACCCGCAGAAGAAGCACCGGCUAACUCCGUG
rnacentral:rRNA from 1 species